GCGCAGCAGUCGAGAAACCUCCGCAAUGCGGGAAACCGCGACGGGGGACCCCGAGUGCCGUGGCAACGCCACGGCUUUUCCGGAGUGUAAAAAGCUCCGGGAAUAAGGGCUGGGCAAGGCCGGUGGCAGCCGCCGCGGUAAUACCGGCGGCCCGAGUGGUGGCCGCUAUUAUUGGGCCUAAAGCGUCCGUAGCCGGGCCCGUAAGUCCCUGGCGAAAUCCCACGGCUCAACCGUGGGGCUUGCUGGGGAUACUGCGGGUCUUGGGACCGGGAGAGGCGGGGGGUACCCCUGGGGUAGGGGUGAAAUCCUAUAAUCCCAGGGGGACCGCCAGUGGCGAAGGCGCCCCGCUGGAACGGGUCCGACGGUGAGGGACGAAGGCCAGGGGAGCAAACCGGAUUAGAUACCUGGGUAGU
rnacentral:rRNA from 1 species